rnacentral:lncRNA from 1 species
AGUAGUUCGUGGGACAUCAAAGCCGCGAUUAGCACAGCUUCCUGGCUGUCGCACUCCGCGUAUUUAUGGCGCGUUGCACAUUUAAGUGCUAUUCUCAUAAGACGUUUCAGCUGUCAAAGCGCCAUAUUUGGGCGAUAAAAGUGACUGAAAUUACCAGGGGGUCCUGCGUUCCCAAUCCCAGCAUUGUGCCAAAGCCAACGACAACCAAAAACCACCGAAUUUAUUUCACCAUUUGCGGAACACCUGUGAGCAGCCUGGUGGACAUGCAGUACACAUGGGGUCCAGAGAGAGGGGGCUGCAGCAGGUCACCAGGUCUUAAGAGUAAGCCAAUGAUGCUGGGAAGUGACAUCCCCAACAGACCAAUCAUUUCCCAGAGACGAAUCUCAGCAAGGCCAGAGCAGGCUGGGUUUCCAAGGACAGUCGGUCGUCGCUGACGUGCAGUCAUCCAGUGUUGCAGUGGAUCCUUGGGGCAGCAUCUCUGACCUCGAGAGAAGCAGAGGGAGGAGAGAACAUAGAAAACAAUCGACCAUGGCUUUCUCUUCCUCUC